GACGUAGGGCGCGAGCGUUGUCCGGAUUUAUUGGGCGUAAAGAGCUCGUAGGCGGCUUGUCGCGUCGUCCGUGAAAACCCGCAGCUUAACUGCGGGCCUGCAGUUUGAUACGGGCAGGCUAGAGUUCGGUAGGGGAGACUGGAAUUCCAGGUGUAGCGGUGAAAUGCGUAGAUAUCUGGAGGAACACCGGUGGCGAAGGCGGCAUCCUGGACCGACACUGACGCUGAGGAGCGAAAGCCAGGGGAGCAAACGGGG
rnacentral:rRNA from 1 species